rnacentral:rRNA from 1 species
AGAGUUUGAUCAUGGCUCAGGAUGAACGCUGGCGGCGUGCUUAACACAUGCAAGUCGAACGGAGUUUUUAAACGGAAGUUUUCGGAUGGAAGUUUAAGAACUUAGUGGCGGACGGGUGAGUAACGCGUGGGUAACCUGCCUCAUACAGGGGGAUAACAGUUAGAAAUGACUGCUAACACCGCAUAAUAUAGUGAAACCGCAUGAUUUUUGCUAUCAAAUAUUUAUAGGUAUGAGAUGGGCCCGCGUCUGAUUAGCUAGUUGGUGGGUAAAAGCCUACCAAGGCGACGAUCAGUAGCCGGCUUGAGAGAGUGACCGGCCACAUUGGGACUGAGACACGGCCCAAACUCCUACGGGAGGCAGCAGUGGGGAAUAUUGGACAAUGGGGGAAACCCUGAUCCAGCGACGCCCGCGUGAGUGAAGAAGUAUUUCGGUAUGUAAAGCUCUAUCAGCAAGGAAGAUAAUGACAGUACCUGACUAAGAAGCCCCGGCUAACUACGUGCCAGCAGCUGC